GAUGAACGCUGGCGGCGUGCCUAAUACAUGCAAGUCGAGCGAAUGGAUUAAGAGCUUGCUCUUAUGAAGUUAGCGGCGGACGGGUGAGUAACACGUGGGUAACCUGCCCAUAAGACUGGGAUAACUCCGGGAAACCGGGGCUAAUACCGGAUAACAUUUUGAACCGCAUGGUUCGAAAUUGAAAGGCGGCUUCGGCUGUCACUUAUGGAUGGACCCGCGUGGCAUUUGCUAGUUGGUGAGGUAACGGCUCACCAAGGCAACGAUGCGUAGCCGACCUGAGAGGGUGAUCGGCCACACUGGGACUGAGACACGGCCCAGACUCCUACGGGAGGCAGCAGUAGGGAAUCUUCCGCAAUGGACGAAAGUCUGACGGAGCAACGCCGCGUGAGUGAUGAAGGCUUUCGGGUCGUAAAACUCUGUUGUUAGGGAAGAACAAGUGCUAGUUGAAUAAGCCGGCACCUUGACGGUACCUAACCAGAAAGCCACGGCUAACUACGUGCCAGCCGCCGCUGUAA
rnacentral:rRNA from 1 species